rnacentral:rRNA from 1 species
CCUACGGGCGGCAGCAGUGGGGAAUAUUGGGCAAUGGGCGCAAGCCUGACCCAGCAACGCCGCGUGAAGGAAGAAGGCCUUCGGGUUGUAAACUUCUUUUGUCAGGGAAGAGUAGAAGACGGUACCUGCCGAAUAAGCCACGGCUAACUACGUGCCAGCAGCCGCGGUAAUACGGAGGUGGCAAGCGUUGUCCGGAUUUACUGGGUGUAAAGGGCGUGUAGCCGGGUUGACAAGUCAGUUGUGAAAGCCUGCGGCUUAACCGCAGAACUGCAUUUGAAACUGUUGGUCUUGAGUACUGGAGAGGCAGACGGAAUUCCUGGUGUAGCGGUGAAAUGCGUAGAUAUUAGGAGGAACACCAGUGGCGAAGGCGGUCUGCUGGACAGCAACUGACGGUGAGGCGCGAAAGCGUGGGGAGCAAACAGGAUUAGAUACCCGUGUAGUC